rnacentral:rRNA from 1 species
CAGCAGCCGCGGUAAAACGGAGGGUGCAAGCGUUACUCGGAAUCACUGGGCGUAAAGGACGCGUAGGCGGAUUAUCAAGUCUCUUGUGAAAUCUAACGGCUUAACCGUUAAACUGCUUGGGAAACUGAUAACCUAGAGUAAGGGAGAGGCAGAUGGAAUUCUUGGUGUAGGGGUAAAAUCCGUAGAUAUCAAGAAGAAUACCUAUUGCGAAGGCGAUCUGCUGGAACUUAACUGACGCUAAUGCGUGAAAGCGUGGGGAGCAAACAGGAUUAGAGACCCCCGUAGUCCCUGUCUCUUAUAC